UACAGAGGAUGCAAGCGUUAUCCGGAAUGAUUGGGCGUAAAGCGUCUGUAGGUGGCUUUUAAGUCCGCCGUCAAAUCCCAGGGCUCAACUCUGGACAGGCGGUGGAACUACCAAGCUGGAGUACGGUAGGGGCAGAGGGAAUUCCGGUGGAGCGGUGAAAUGCGCAGAGUAUCGGGAGGAACACCGGUGGCGAAGGCGGUUCUCUGGG
rnacentral:rRNA from 1 species